UACUGGCCCAGAGCACAGCCUCAUUGCUACAUCAAAAACACACCUUCCUGGCUCAGAAUAGAACCUGCCAGAUCAGCAUCACAAGAGUGAGUGAGACAGAGAAAGCUAGGAACGUUCCCAAGAUGUGUCAAAUCCCAGCCAAGGCAGUGAUGGUGCUGAGCACAAAAAUGCUGCUCAGAUUGGACCCCGAGGCUAAGCCCGCAUCCCAAGGAUCUUGCCAGGCAGAGACUACAUCAAUGUUAGACAAUAGAGCAGCACCCCAGGCUGUGACCUCCCUUAAUAGAAAGACUGCUUCCAGAAAGUGCAUCUACUCAGAAGAAAACACUUUUGAGUUCUCUAAAUGGAUCAGGAAAAGAUAUUUAUUUCCAGGUUCUGCCCAACAGUCAGUCUGACCCCUGGCUCUUUCUUGCUAGAAAAGGAACCAUACAGGAAUCAUAUAGGUAACCUGCAAUGCCUGCAUAGCUCCCUGGGAAGAAGACACAUGGCUGAAGACAACAGUCCCCUCCCGCUCCACGCCUCCCCCGCAGAUGGGAAAGGGGGUUCCAGGCAUUUGAAAAAGCCUGGCUCCAAAGUAAAAAGAUGUGCCUUAAGCAGACUAAUAGUGAGGAGUUGGAACUCAAAACCGCCUUGCUUCCACAUUUGCCUCUAUGCUCACUACUUAUCACCUGAAGAAGGAUAACCACACGGGAAUGAAAGAAUAGGACCAAGUCUGGCUCAGAAGCCUGUUCUCCACCCUUCUCAGUCUAAGGGAAGCACAGGGUUCUCCAAGAAGACAGACAGCUUGCCAGCCACCGUGUCCAGGUCAUUUGUAUUGGCAUACUUGAGCAGAUUUGUGUCUUUGAUGAAGUAAUGCUUCAGGAAAUGCUGGCUCACACAUUUGUGUAACUUCUGAACCAUCCGUAGGAAGCCUGUGCGGAAACAGCACCAGUCUUUGGAGUGAGGGUAUUUCUCACAGGUCCAAAAAAGCACCAUCUGCAAAAAGCAUGCAAAGAAGUCACAACUGAGGCACAGUGGUUUUGUUUCAACAGCACAGGAAGUCUUUUAAGCCAUCAGUCCCAACCACAUGAUAUGCCAACAUAUGCCCACCAUCCCAAGGGACACUUGAAGGAUGUUCAUAGCCAAUCCCAGUGUGGCCUAAACAAGCAGUGAGGAGACAUCAACAAGACAGCCAGCAGAAGACCUGAGCGGCUCAGCCUCAACUGGAUAAAAUUCUUUGAGGAAAUUUAUGUAGCUGUUUGAUCUUCAGAAUGAUGGGAAAUGUGAAGGUAGUGCUCAGCCAAUGUUCAACCAUAGCCUUCUACGUGUCCUUCUUGAAUAUGGACCACUUCUGUGAUGAACUUAGAUUGCCACCGAAGAAACAGGAAGGGGCUAAGUACUUCUGUCAAGUCUGAGGCCCCAUUCACACUAUGAAAAUAAUCCAGGAUGAAUCCUCGUUAUGGACACAUAAACAACACUACAAUGCCUUCAGCCAGAUAUGACCUGUGGAGGAAUGAUGCUUUUUGAAGCAAGAACAUCGAGGAGCUUCUAAUAUGUUUCAGAGGAAGCCUUUGGAUCUACGCCUGAAGGAAAACAGUAGAAACUUAUAUUGCAGUUUUCACUGACAGAAUUCAUCAGCGAGAUGUCUAGGAGAAGACAGGACCAACCGAGCCUGAAAGACAACAAAGAGCCUUUAAAAGACCCACUGAGCAUUCAGUUGGAUCUUCACAAGAAUUGAAAGGAUGAAGACAAUCCUAAGUAAAGUUGUAGCUGUGGAAGGAAGACUUGAAGGAAAUAGCCGGCAGGAUCUCUUCCUCUCAUCUCUUCUCCAUGCAAUCGCCCAACAACAAGAAACGUUCAAGAGUCCUGCUCCUUCCAAUGAGACAAAGUAGCCAAAGGGAAAGUCCAGGUCAUCGUGAAAAUCCGUGAAUUCAUGUAAACACCUUGACAGACGUCAUCUUCAAAGGACACGAUCACAAUGGAAGUGAUGUGCAGAAAUGAACCCCGUGAAUGCAGAACAUUUGAGAACGAUGGGCAACAUCUUAACAGAAGUUAACUUCAAAGAAACAGUCACAAGAUGAGUGAUUUCCAGAAAUGCAUGCUGUGCAUGCAAAACAUUAAAGAGUGAAUGACAACGUCUCAGAGGAAAGCAAAAACUCAUGGACCAACACCUUGACGAAUAUGGUGACAGCUUAUGUUCAUGGAUGAAAUGCAUCAGCAAGUCUAGGGGAAGAGAGAAGCAGCCAAGUCUUAAAAGGCAUUGAAGAGCCUUUAAAAAACCCACUGAAGUAUUCAUACACCUCCUCCUUCCUGUUUCUCCAUCUCUUUCCCUUGUAGUCACUUUUGCUUGUAAGACUGAAAUAAACUUCAUCAUCAAUGCUUUCUUUGCUUUGCAGCAUCCAGUGCAAUCUUCAAAAGAAUGCAAAGGAUGAAAACAUUGCUAAGCAAAGUUGUAGCUAAAGAAGAAAGACUCAGAAGAAAUAACCUCCUCCUUAACCCUGGCCUCCUAAGUUUCCAUCUGGCAUGAGGUUCACAUCCAUAGCCCACAUUGUGCUGAUGAAGAAAGAAGGAGGGAGAAAGAAAAGGAAGCCUUUGGAAGCAUCUCCUACUCAGGGUUCUCCUCCAUGCAAUCAUCUUCCAACAGGUAAGGUUCAAGAGCUCUGCUCCAUUCAGUGAAAUAAAGUAGCUGAAGGGAAAUUCCAUUAAGACACAGGUGAGUAUUCCUCCUUCACACCUAAAGCCUCUUUCUUUGGACUGAUCCCAUGCAACAGCCAUGCAGGAUUUGUCACUAUGCCCCAUCUAGCAAACAAGGAAGAUGACAUGAAGAUGGCAAAGUCAAGCAGACAACAAUGCUGCAUUUUCCCAAACACUGAAAUAUGCGAAUUCACAUGAGCUCAAGCCAUUUGGUGGGUGGUGUUCCGUUUUUAGAGUUUCUCGUCUUUCCUGUGUUAAUAGCACUUGGAAAAGAUGUUCUAGGACACGAAACAUUUCAUAGCUGCUGAUAUGUUGGAGAUGGGACUCCACAAACCUAGCAGAAAAUGACUAGAAUUCCCUCCCCCUGGAUUUAUGAAAAUUUCAUAAAGGAAAAUACAUCAUAAUGAUUUGGAACAGAAACCACCAGCCUAGUCUUGACUGAACUGCAUGCCAGUAAGCACACAUUUCCAACUUUCCUCCAAACUGUUUUCCUUCUAACUUAAUGCCAUUGUGACCUUCACAUCACAUCUCCUUUCCUUUGGACUCACUUCUUCCAAACCAGCAAUGAAGCUUGGUUUGCUUCCUUGUCUGCAUAACACAAGAGAUGACUCCAGCUGCAGAGACCCUUCCCACUUUAUGGCUGGUAGAUACAAACAGCUGAAGCUAUGUUCCCUCAGAUGCACCAGUUGGUUUGGCUUUGUGUCCAGGGAGGGGAUUUAGCUCCCCAAAACAUGAGUUUUCCUUAAUCCCAAAGACGACAGCUUUCUAGGGGGAUUCAGUUCUCCAGGUGAGUAUUCUGCACUUCAUUUCCGGUCCCACUCCCUUCCUCCAUUUUUUUCCUGCAACCCAACAGCUGUGCAUUGAUGCUCCUUCUCCUCCAUCUUGCAGACUUGGAUGACAACAGAAGGACUGAAGCUCCACUAUACAAGAAAGCUGAGAAUAUGUGGAUACAGCAUUCCAUCAUGUACAAAAAGGUUUCUGCAGAUCAAUGAGGAGAGGCCAUCGAGAAAGCUCAUUAAUUCAUACAAACAUCUCAGGAGACGUUAACUUCAAAGAAACUAUCAGAAGGUAAGUGAUAUACAAGAAUGAAACCUGUGACUCCAGAACAUUUAAGAAUAACUGAGAACAUAACUCAACAGAAUUUAACUUCAAGGAGACUGUCACAAGGUAAGUGAUCUCCAGAAAUGAACCAUGUGGAUGCAAAAAAAAGGCUUAUUUGUUGAGCCUUAAGGUAAGAAGGAAUGCAUUUGGCCUGAGCAAGAGUUGGCAGGAAGGUGGUCUGUGGUCCUUGCUGACAUGUCCAGGGUAGCACUGGCCGCCACAUUUGGGGUCAGGAAGGAAUUUUCCUCCAGGGCAGAUUGGCCAGAGAUCCUGGAGGUUUUUCACCUUCCUCUGGGCAUCCAGCAGGGUCCACCUGUUAGGAUGUUUGAAAAAUUAAUGUAUAUUGUCACUGACUCAGGGUAACCAUGGGUGAAACAAUCUCCAAGCUCCUCCAUCCUUAACCCAUUCUGCAUCCUUUUUCAGGCUUUGAGCUGUAGCCUCCUUAACUGAAUUUAUCUAUCUGGUAUGUGGUCCACCUCUUUUCCUCCUAUCUUCUACCAUUCCAAGCAUUAUUGCCCUCUCUAGUGAGCUGUGCCUUUUCAUAAUGUGACCAAAAUACGACAGCCUUACUUUGUCUAUCCUGGCUUCUAGGGAGAAUUCAGACUUGAUCUAUUCCCAUAUCCAUGUCUUCCUGACCAUCCAUGGUGUCCUCAGCACUCCUCUCCAGAACAACAUCUCAAAUGAUUUUCUUUCUGUCAGCUCUCUUCACUGUCCAUCUCACACAUCUAUAGAUGGUGAUGGGAAAUACAACAGUAUGGAUGAUGCUUUCUUUAGUGUUCAGGGUUAUGGCUUUGCAUGUUAUGAUCUUAUCUGGUUCUUUCAUAGCUGCUUUUCCCAGUCUUAGUCUUCUUCUGAUUCCUUGAAUGCAAUCUCCGUUCUGAUUGUUGAUGGAUCCAGGAUAUGAGAAGUCUUUGCCCUUUCCAAUGUCAUCAUUUUCUAGACUGAAUUUAAAAUAAAAUUUAGAAGAAACAUCACGUUGUCCAAACAGGAUGGCUUUUCCUUGAUGAUGAUGAUGGAGCCUGGAAGAUGCCAGCAAGUCUUCUACACGGAAAGUUGGAUGGAGGGAGCUUCGCCAUUUGCUUGUAUAAGGAAGGCUCUUGUCGACAUGCCCAGGGUAGCACUGACCGCCAUUUUUGGGGUCGGGAAGGAAUUUUCCUCCAGGGCAGAUUGGCUGGAGAUCCUGGAGGUUUUUCGCCUUCCUCUGGGCAUCCGGCAGGGGUCACCUGUUAGGCUGUUUGGGAGAUUCAUAGGCAUCAAAGUAAAGUUAUAAUUUUAAAACUUGCCAAACUGAAUCUGACAAAUAGACAUAACAACCAUAAUGCAAAAUAAAUAAAAAUCAGAACCUUGAAAAUA